ensembl:lncRNA
AUGCUGAUGAACAAGGUGGUUCCUGAUGAGAUAUUAGCCCAGCUUCAGCGGAAACCCAUCACCUACGUCAGCAGUUCAAAAGAUAUCAGAAAUAAAGGUGGCGUUGUAUUUGGUGAGAGGAGCAUUGCAGUAGAAAAGGACAGUGAGGAAGACCUCCAAAUAGACACGUCCAGUAGCCCUGAGUCUGAUCCGUUUGGUCAGUCGGACUGCACAGAAGUGGUCCCUGUACCCCCUCAGCCUCCUCAUAAUCUACUGGAUGAUCCUCUCCUGCAGCUCUCUCCUCGGGUGUUGAUCCCACGAAAGACAGCGUCUGUGUUUCAGUCAAAACAACAAGCUAAACAAGCAGACGAUGAAGGAACCAAUGUGAGGGGGAUUCAUUUAAAAGACUGGGUUUUGAAACUGCUCAACAAAGACCUUGUGGUUGAUGGUAUUCGCAUAGAUACUAUGAUACCUUGGCACAGCAGUUUUAUCACUGAAAGAAUCUCAAGCAAUGUUCUCAAGACUUCAUCUGGCAGAACCUAUGUCCUCAUUGGGAAAAUGGCCAAACAUCCCAGUUCAUGUAAGAAAAUGCUUUUUAAAUCAAGUUGCGUUACUUUGAUUGUGUAUGUUUCAUUUGACAAUUUUUGUUUUAACGCUUACAGCAUUUCCAUCAUGGUUUUUGAAGAAGUUUCUUUUUGGGUUUCCAAAAAUGUGGAAGGAGUACCUGGAUCAGUUUUUGAGUGGUCAUAUGGGACUGCAGAAAAGUCAGAAGGACAACAGUGGUGUGAAACCUCCCAAAGCUAAAAAUCAACAGGCUGCUAAAAACUCAACAUGCAAACAUCCCAAAUUUCAGGACAAUAUAAUGUGUGAGUAUAUCAUUUCAACAGUAAAGGUGACCUUUAUAUCAGUUGGAAAGUUCACAAAUCUAUCUGAAUGACUUAUUAUUGAAUCAGUCAUAAUUAACUGCUUAAUUUGUUUAUAUUUAAUUGGUGUCUGUAUCAAGAAUGUUUGGAAUCCCAGUUUUUGUUUAAACUAUGUUCAUCCCCAUUAGUUUGAAAUGGUCAUGCUAAUAUAUUGAAUUUUUUUCGUGGGAUAGCUCCCAGUCCCAUCACUCCCACUGACAACAUUCAGCAGGGCAGUGCAAAAGUUUCCCGCAGUGGCCGGCUCAUCAAACCACCAUUGGAAUACUGGAAAGGAGGGAGGAUUGUUAUGGAUUCUGACAUGAAUGUCACUAUCCAUGAGGACUACUCUACCUCAGUGCUGUCCACGGUACUCUUCUCAUUUCAUUCAGCACUGCAAACAAUGUCUUUGAUCUCUAGUGGCAUUUACAGGGUCUUUUUAUAUUGGUAUGGUGCAGGUGGACCAUUUUUUUAAAUUUGAUUAAAUUUGAUGUUAUUUUGCUUUCCAGCCAAAGAAACCAGUAACUAUGGCAACAUCACAAAUCACAGAGGAACAAUCAUCCAGGCCUGAAACUCUGGGAAGAGGUGUGCAUUCAUAACACGUGUGUUUUUAAAGCGCAUUUGUUUUUUCAUUCAAAUUUUCACAUUUAUUCGUUUUACAAAAGGGAGGCGUAACACAUCCAGCAGUG